rnacentral:piRNA from 1 species
UAGGUGCAAAUGCUUCAUUUAGGAAGGA